UAGGGAAUCUUCCGCAAUGGACGCAAGUCUGACGGAGCAACGCCGCGUGAGUGAAGAAGGAUUUCGGUUCGUAAAACUCUGUUGUUAGAGAAGAACAGCGCAUAGAGUAACUGUUAUGCGUGUGACGGUAUCUAACCAGAAAGCCACGGCUAACUACGUGCCAGCAGCCGCGGUAAUACGUAGGUGGCAAGCGUUGUCCGGAUUUAUUGGGCGUAAAGCGAGCGCAGGCGGUCAAUUAAGUCUGAUGUGAAAGCCCCCGGCUCAACCGGGGAGGGUCAUUGGAAACUGGUUGACUUGAGUGCAGAAGAGGAGAGGGGAAUUCCAUGUGUAGCGGUGAAAUGCGUAGAUAUAUGGAGGAACACCAGUGGCGAAGGCGACUCUCUGGUCUGUAACUGACGCUGAGGCUCGAAAGCGUGGGGAGCGAACAGG
rnacentral:rRNA from 1 species